UACAGAGGUCCCGAGCGUUGUUCGGAUUCACUGGGCGUAAAGGGUGCGUAGGUGGCCAGGUAAGUUUGGUGUGAAAGCUCGGAGCUUAACUCCGAAAAGUCAUUGAAUACUAUCUGGCUGGAGGGUCGGAGGGGAGACUGGAAUUCUCGGUGUAGCAGUGAAAUGCGUAGAUAUCGAGAGGAACACCAGUGGCGAAGGCGAGUCUCUGGACGACUCCUGACACUGAGGCACGAAAGCUAGGGGAGCAAACAGG
rnacentral:rRNA from 1 species